rnacentral:rRNA from 1 species
UACGGGGGGGGCAAGCGUUGUUCGGAAUUACUGGGCGUAAAGGGCUCGUAGGUGGCCAACUAAGUCGGACGUGAAAUCCCUCGGCUUAACCGGGGAACUGCAUCCGAUACUGGAUGGCUUGAGUUCGGGAGAGGGAUGCGGAAUUCCAGGUGUAGCGGUGAAAUGCGUAGAUAUCUGGAGGAACACCGGUGGCGAAGGCGGCAUCCUGGACCGGUAUUGACGCUGAUGCGCGAAAGCCAGGGGAGCAAACGGG